rnacentral:misc_RNA from 1 species
AUGUGGGGGUUUCUUUUGCUGGUCUCUUUUGAGGUCGGCUCCCCUAAAAUGCAUUAGCGGACCAAUCUGUUACCCGUUCAUUGGUGUGAUAACUAUCUACGCUUUUGACGUGAAACAGGUUCAGCUCUAACAGUCCAUUGACUUGGACAAUUUUUCAUUAAUGUGACCUCAAAUCAGGUAGGACUACCCGCUGAACUUAA